GAUAAAAGUCAUACCACCCUUAAUGUGCCUGAUCUCGUCUGAUCUCAGAAGCUAAGCAAGGUUGGGCCUGGUUAGUACCUGGAUGGGAGAAAGGUUAGAAGCUGGGAUGUCCAGGACACAUUC
rnacentral:rRNA from 1 species